rnacentral:rRNA from 1 species
AUACGGAGGGGGCUAGCGUUGUUCGGAUUUACUGGGCGUAAAGGGUCCGUAGGCGGUUUGAAAAGUCGGAUGUGAAAUCCCACAGCUCAACUGUGGAACUGCAUUCGAAACUUUCAAACUCGAGUGUGAGAGGGGUAAAGGGAAUUCCCGGUGUAAGGGUGAAAUCUGCAGAGAUCGGGAAGAACACCAGUCGCGAAGGCGCUUUACUGGCUCACUACUGACGCUGAGAGACGAAAGCUAGGGUAGCAAACGGGAUUAGAAACCCCAGUAGUCC